GGUGUCUCAAGAUAAGCCAGGUGAUCCCGACCUCCUCGAACCAGCUGUGGCAACACACUCCCGAGCAAAGAGAGAGAGAGAGGACACAUCCUGCCCAAUUUUCUGCACUUGCCAUAACCUGUGGAUUUGUAUUGUUUGUGGAGCAUGUAAUUGCAUCAGUCUGAUUGAGAGGUGCAAGCAGCUAUCAACUCCCUCAAAAUUAAUAAGACCCCUUGGAAUGACAGCAUCUCAGCAGAGCUCCUUGAACAAGUUGGCUACCUUCAUACCAGGAUGAUUCAUUGGGGUGGGGGCGGCAGUGGCUCAGUGGUUCAUGUAGGUUGUAUACAAACCAGAAGGUUGGUGGUUCCACCUGACCAAGUGUUGAGGUUUCCAUGAGCAAGCAGCUGCUCCCGACGAGCUGGAUGGCAAGCCUCCAUCUUGCAUGACUGUAUGAAUGAGUGAGCGAAUGGGUGAAUGUGAGGCAAAAUGUAAAGCGUUUUGGUGGCCAUUGGGUCUGUGAAAGCGCUAAAUAAAUAUAGUCCAUUUACCAUAAUUACAUUGUAAUAACUAUAAUAAAACUGUAACAAAUGUAUAAUUA